rnacentral:rRNA from 1 species
AUUGAACGCUGGCGGCAGGCCUAACACAUGCAAGUCGAGCGGAGCGGCGGACGGGUAAGUGAUACCUAGGAAUCUGCCUGGUGCUGGUGGAUAACGUCCGGAAACGGGAGCUGAUAGCGCAUACUAUCAGAUGAGCCUAGGUCGGAUUCGCUAGUUGGUGGGGUAAAGGCCUACCAAGGCGAGGAUCAGUACCUGGUCUGAGAGGAUGAACCGCCACACUGGAACUGAGACACGGUCCAGACUCCUACGGGAGGCAGCAGUGGGGAAUAUUGGACAAUGGGCGAAAGCCUGAUCCAGCAAUGCCGCGUGUGUGAAGAAGGUUUUCGGAUCGUAAAGCACUUUAAGUUGGGAGGCGGUACCAACAGAAUAAGCACCGGCUAACUACGUGCCAGCAGCCGCGGUAAUAC